UUCAAGGCCGUCGCCCCAGAAUUAUCAGUGAUUGAGAAGAGUGCACUUUUUCUCUUGGGUUCACCUGUUCUAGCCGAUUCUUUUCCGGACUAUAUAAAUGAAAAAACACGGAAUUUUAGUGAAAGUUUAGAUCGUCUUCUCCAAAUUAACAGUCACAUGGCAUUUACUCUGAUUCGAUAUUGUUUAUUCGUUCCAAAAUUUACGUAUGCUUUGCGGUGUUGUCAGCUCUGGAAGUUCCCAGAACUUCUCCAUAGCUUAGAUGACACCCUAAAGCAUACGCUUUCCACAAUUUUAAACAUAAAAUUUGAUGAACGUUCCUGGACCCAAGCUACACUACCAGUAAGGUUCGGUGGCCUGGGAAUACGAAAAACAUCGGACACAGCUUUACCGGCGUUCUUGUCCUCGGUCCACGCAAAUCGCGCAUUAAUUUUGAAAAUAUUAGAGCA